AUUAAAACACCGGUUCCCAUACUAUAACCGAACUUAAGCAACAUUGGGCCUGGUCAGUAUCUAGAUGAGUGACCGCUUGGGAUUGUCAAGUGCUGUAAG